rnacentral:rRNA from 1 species
CAGUCGCCGCGGGAAUACGGAGGGUGCAAGCGUUAAUCGGAAUUACUGGGCGUAAAGCGCACGCAGGCGGUCUGACAAGUCAGAUGUGAAAUCCCCGGGCUUAACCUGGGAACUGCAUUUGAAACUGUCAGGCUGGAGUCUUGUAGAGGGGGGUGGAAUUCCAGGUGUAGCGGUGUAAUGCGUAGAGAUCUGGAGGAAUACCGGUGGCGAAGGCGGCCCCCUGGACAAAGACUGACGCUCAGGUGCGAAAGCGUGGGGAGCAAACAGGAUUAGAUACCCGUGUAGUCCCUGUCUCUUAUAC